CCGGGAACGUUGUCUCAUACCGGAUGGGGUAUAGAGACUUUAAAUAUUUUGGCGCUCAUACCAGACGGGGUAUGGGGACGACCCACUUCACCCUUAUACUGAACGGGGUAUUGAGGUUUAUUGUUUGGCACCCAUACCGAACGGGGUAUGGGGACGGCCCUGAAAAUUAAAUUUGUUAAGGAAAUGGUUCACGGGUAGCGGGGACCCCUAUAGAUCCCCACAGAUACUAGUAAGUUGAUAAAAAGGGGGCAACUGUUGUUUGAUGAUUAAAAUAUAAAAGUAUGACAUGUACUCUGUUACAGAUUAUGUAUGAAUUUAUGAUAUCUGUGAU
rnacentral:lncRNA from 1 species